rnacentral:misc_RNA from 1 species
UUUCUUCCCUUUUCUGUCUGUUGCCAAAGCUCCGAUCAUGCUUUGGCCGUCCGUUUCUGAAUCAGAUCCAUCGCUUUGUUCCGAAGCUUUUCAUCUUUCACUUUCCUUUUCUCUGAUCUGAGCGAUUUCCAUUGUUUCUUCAGUUUCGGACUUCACUCUUAACAAUGUCUUGUUCUUAUCUACGCCCCGAUCCGCCCGCCAGAAUCUUCUCCAUACAGGACGGUGUUUUUGGCCAGAGCUACAUCCGUUGUAACUACUCGGAUGAUCAUUUUGAUCGUCUCCCGGAUUCUCUGCUUCUGCUGAUUUUCAAUAGGAUCGGUGACGUUAAGGCUCUUGGACGUUGUUGUGCAGUUUCUCGAAGAUUUAACUCGAUCGUGUCUCAGGUUGAUAACGUUGUUGUACGAGUUGACUGUGUGAUUUCCGAUGAUGAUUUCUCCUCAG